UGGGUCCUACGGGACGCAGCAGUGAGGAAUAUUGGUCAAUGGGCUUACGCCUGAACCAGCCAAGUCGCGUGAGGGAAGACUGCCCUAUGGGUUGUAAACCUCUUUUGUCAGGGAGCAACGCCGGCUACGUGUAGCCGGACUGAGAGUACCUGAAGAAAAAGCAUCGGCUAACUCCGUGCCAGCAGCCGCGGUAAUACGGAGGAUGCGAGCGUUAUCCGGAUUUAUUGGGUUUAAAGGGUGCGUAGGCGGAAUGCCAAGUCAGCGGUAAAAUCGCGGGGCUCAACCCCGCUCCGCCGUUGAAACUG
rnacentral:rRNA from 1 species